ACUGAACGCUGGCGGCAUGCCUUACACAUGCAAGUCGAACGGCAGCACGGGAGCAAUCCUGGUGGCGAGUGGCGAACGGGUGAGUAAUAUAUCGGAACGUGCCCAGUAGUGGGGGAUAACUGCUCGAAAGAGCAGCUAAUACCGCAUACGACCUGAGGGUGAAAGGGGGGGAUCGCAAGACCUCUCGCUAUUGGAGCGGCCGAUAUCAGAUUAGCUAGUUGGUGGGGUAAAGGCCUACCAAGGCAACGAUCUGUAGUUGGUCUGAGAGGACGAGCAGCCACACUGGGACUGGGACACGGCCCAGACUCCUACGGGGGGCAGCAGUGGGGAAUUUUGGACAAUGGGGGCAAGCCUGAUCCAGCAAUGCCGCGUGCAGGAAGAAGGCCUUCGGGUUGUAAACUGCUUUUGUCAGGGAAGAAAUCCUCUAGGUUAAUACCCUUGGGGGGAUGACGGUACCUGAAGAAUAAGCACCGGCUAACUACGUGCCAGCCGCCGCGGUAAUAC
rnacentral:rRNA from 1 species